CACGGGUGAGUAACACGUAUCCAACCUGCCGUCUACUCUUGGACAGCCUUCUGAAAGGAAGAUUAAUACAAGAUGGCAUCAUGAGUCCGCAUGUUCACAUGAUUAAAGGUAUUCCGGUAGACGAUGGGGAUGCGUUCCAUUAGAUAGUAGGCGGGGUAACGGCCCACCUAGUCAACGAUGGAUAGGGGUUCUGAGAGGAGGGUCCCCCACAUUGGAACUGAGACACGGUCCAA
rnacentral:rRNA from 1 species